CCCACCCGUUCUGCACCCAAACCCCCACCCCUGUCAAUAUUCGUGAAGUCGAACAGCCGACAAGCCGAUACGAGCCCAAAAAUCAACGGGGGUGGGGGGUUUGGGUGCAGAAUGGGUGGG
rnacentral:pre_miRNA from 1 species